AUUUUCAUUUCCUGCCCCAUGGCUGCCCUCGGAGUCCUCCUGCUUCUCCAGGGACCCAGGAGGACAAAGUCCAGUGUGGCGUGUGCUUUCUCUACUAGUGUGAAGCAUAGAACAGAUACCCCAUGACUCCACAUGCACACGCACGGCCAAUUCUAGUGACGGCUCUGAAUGAAAUUGGGCCCCUUGAUGGUCCCCUCCAAGAUGACGUGGACAUUUGCAUUUCUGCUGCCAUCUCGCUUGGUCACUGACAUUCAUGAAACACACGGAGCUUUCAGCCUUUGCCAUCAUCAUUCCCAUCCACACCCCACCCUAUCCCUCACCCUUCGAAGCCCGGCUCAAGCUCCCCUCGUCCAUGAAGCUUCUCUGGCCCUUUGCAGCCCGCGCUGACCUGCCCACUCCCCGCUCAUGGACACACGAUG
rnacentral:lncRNA from 1 species